AUGUGUAUGGAGGCUGCACUAGAGACCAGGCUUAUGCAGCCCUUGACGAUGUCACAAACACCAGAGACAAAUGUUCUACCUUGGGGCAUUUGUACCCCAGCAGGACUUGUGUUCCUGUUCCUUCAUCUUUUGCCACACCUGCCCAUCACAGUCACCUCUAUGACCUCAGUCACAUGCCUUCUCUCCAUUUCAAGCCCUUUGUUAUGCAGAUAUGCUAUCCAGAUCCAGACCCUUGGGAAAUCUCAGGAUGAAGAACUAAUGGCCCCAGAUUCACUCAGGCUGUUCUCAACAACACCAGACAGAAGCUCUCAUCAGACACAAUCAGGUCGAUGGGAAGUUGGAGCAGGAAGGCUGGCAUCCAGCAGGCACACCUGGUGGUUGUGUGCUUCUUUUCCUCCGGAUUCUAGGACUGGGGUCAGCUGCUUCACCAGAACUAUCCUGUGCAAAACCCAGCCCUGAGGCCACCACCACGGACUCACACCAUGCCAUGGGAUAUAAAGUUUCCACCCUGCAAUUUCUGUAAGUCCCAGUUGCUGCUUGCUCUGCUAACCUCCAGCACCCUAAUUGACACUCCUUUAGAGACUCUGGGAGGCGUCUGGGUCUCCGUCAUGGGCAGCCUGUGGGGAAAGUCAGUGCUGGUUUGGACUGGUCUUUGCAGAUGCCACCAUGGCCAUAUUCUGAAAGUUUAACAUCAACCAGAUGUUCUCAGAUUCUCCCUCCAUGUUUUGGGUUUCUGUGGAAGAAGAUUUUACCCUCUCUGGGAUAUGACCCUGAGAGACAAGGAAACCAAAAACUGCCUUUCUUACUCUCUUCCCGGAGUCUCACAUUCCAUCCCAGCCGUGAGUGUUGGUUUUCCUCUGGGGUGCAUGAUAACUUGGCUGAUACCACACCACCACUUACCUGCACCUAGGACCACUAGUGAAAUUCUGUGUUCCUACUUUGCCAGGAUUGCCUGCCAAUCUAUAAAUAGGAGGUUUGGAAACUUAGAAAACCCCUUUCAUUUUCAUAUAAAUCUGACAUUCAAGCUCACUAUCUCAUAUUAACUCGAAAAAUGAGCUUGUUCUGCACUUGGCUACCAUCCCCUUUCAUGGGUGGUAUCUCUUGUGGCUUAGCCUAAGCAGUGGAAGGGCUCCAGAUGACAUGAUGUAUGUGGGAGAAUAAAACUAUGCCAGCUGAAAAUUUCCA
rnacentral:lncRNA from 12 species